CUGAAGUAACGAUACUCUUACUUGAGUAGAAUUUUUGGCUUCUCUACCCACCUCUGUUGAUUUAUUUCUAGACUCCAUGAAGACUAGGUCAAAUGUCACAGCUUACUUAUGUUGAUUCAUCAGACAGGGUCAACAUAUGGUCGAAAGAUGAUGACCGGGUACCUGUCUGCAAUGGGAGUGGUUGCUGGUGAAUGCUGGGUGGGGAAGAUUUUGAGAACAACUCAUUGUCCCUAUCACGAAAUGCGCAAAUGUGGCGCAUAUAACCUUAACCCCGUCCCCUACGCAGCUGCAUACAUGGGACACAAAAUCCACAUCGACCAGAACGAAAAACUGGUCAUGUUCGGAGUGACACACAUUCUAGCAGUAGAUGGGUACAGCAGUAAGGUCGUUGCCCACACAACCAUGCCUGUCAAGAAUAACCUCAGGAUAUAUGAAGAAGUUUACAGAAUCAUACAGUGGAGCGAUUGUGGGUCGAGAUAAAUUACAGGGUAAAUUACCCAGUGAAGGAGGCCCUCAUACAGCUGCAGGAUCAGGAAGUCCUCAACAUGGAUGACAACGUGACAAGAUACUGUACAUCUAACCUUACUGCUGAGCUGUGCAAGAUUGGCAUAACAAGAGCUGUACAUGCAUGGAAUGCACACAGAAUUCCAGGCAAAGGAACACCCAAUCGCCUGGCAGCAGGAGGAUGUCCAAAGAAACUGGGAGAGGAGUUGUUGCCACAUGCCUCCCAAGCAGCAGACAUGUAUGAGCAG